CCUACGGGAGGCAGCAGUGAGGAAUAUUGGUCAAUGGGCGCGAGCCUGAACCAGCCAAGCAGCGUGAAGGAUGAAUGCCCUACGUAUCGUAAACUUCUUUUAUCAAGGAAUAAAGUGAGGCACGUGUGCCUUUUUGUAUGUACUUUAUGAAUAAGGAUCGGCUAACUCCGUGCCAGCAGCCGCGGUAAUACGGAGGAUCCGAGCGUUAUCCGGAUUUAUUGGGUUUAAAGGGAGCGUAGAUGGUUUGUUAAGUCAGUUGUGAAAGUUUGCGGCUCAACCGUAAAAUCGCAUUUGAUAAUGGCAGUCUUGAGUACAGGUGAGGUAGGCGGAAUUCGUGGUGUAGCGGUGAAAUGCUUAGAUAUCACGAAGAACUCCGAUUGCGAAGGCAGCUUACGAAACUGACACUGACAUUGAUGCUCGAAAGUGUGGGGAUCAAACAGGAUUAGAUACCCUUGUAGUC
rnacentral:rRNA from 1 species